rnacentral:rRNA from 1 species
UACGUAGGGUGCGAGCGUUAAUCGGAAUUACUGGACGUAAAGGGCGCGUAGGCGGCCUGGCAAGUGGAAGGUGAAAUCCCUCGGCUUAACCGAGGAACUGCCUCCCAAACUGCUUGGCUUGAGACCGGGAGAGGUGAGUGGAAUUCCCAGUGUAGCGGUGAAAUGCGUAGAUAUUGGGAGGAACACCAGUGGCGAAGGCGGCUCACUGGACCGGUACUGACGCUGAUGCGCGAAAGCGUGGGGAGCAAACGGG